rnacentral:rRNA from 1 species
GACGAACGCUGGCGGCGUGCUUAACACAUGCAAGUCGAACGGUGACCCAGGGCUUGCCCUGGUGAUCAGUGGCGAACGGGUGAGUAACACGUGGGCAACCUGCCCCUGACUUCGGGACAACUCCUCGAAAGAGGAGCUAAUACCGGAUACGACCACUUCGGACAUCCGAUGGUGGUGGAAAGUUUUUCGGUCAGGGAUGGGCCCGCGGCCUAUCAGCUAGUUGGUGGGGUAAUGGCCUACCAAGGCGACGACGGGUAGCCGGCCUGAGAGGGCGACCGGCCACACUGGGACUGAGACACGGCCCAGACUCCUACGAGAGGCAGCAGUGGGGAAUAUUGCGCAAUGGGCGAAAGCCUGACGCAGCGACGCCGCGUGAGGGAUGAAGGCCUUCGGGUUGUAAACCUCUUUCAGCAGGGACGAAGCGAAAGUGACGGUACCUGCAGAAGAGCACCGGCUAACUACGUGCCAGC